AUUGGUUACCAUGACGAUGCAAGCUGACUGCUCCUGCCAAACCAUCCUCCAGAAGUCGUAGACGGUCUCGUGGACUGGACCUGAACUCAAACACGAGAGGAACAAAAAAAUGUAUUAAAAAACUGCUGAUGAUGAAGAUGAGGAGAGCCCCGUUCAUGCAGCAGACGCCCCAACGACUGAAUGGUUUGCAUCAACACUUUGUGUGUGAGGACGGACACGCGGACGGACGUGAAGGGCGAGAAUGGUGGAUUCUACGGUGAUACUUACAUCCCUGUACAGCCAAAUCUACAGCGCAAGUCACAGGCAGAAAGAACCAGCGGAAGGAGGAAAGAAAGCACAACAAUGUCAGUGAGGGUCAAUCAGGAAAAAAA